rnacentral:lncRNA from 1 species
CUGUAGUCGUGGGUUCAACUCUAAAAAGUAGUACUCGCCAGUUUCCAUGCUAUAAAGAUACUCAACGGUAGCUGCCCCAACAUAAUUUACAGAUUUAGCUAAUCUUCUAGCCGCAUGUUCAAGUUCUUUCACUGUUUCUGGAGGUGCUACAGUAACGGGACCUUCCUCAAUAAUCUGUUAACAGAUGGUUCAUUAUUUAACUUGUAACUUGUGAGAUUCAUUUCCUGUUUCCACCAUAACAAUUUGGUGUAGUAUCAUAAGCUUUUCAUACCUUUUGAUGCCUUCUUUGAACACUGCAAUCACGGCUGUGCAAAGCUGCAACAUUUCCAUACUGAUCACAAAUCAAUUGGACUUCAAGAUGUCGGCUCUAUUUGGAAACAAGAGAGAUCGUCAGAAUAUAAUCAAGACUCCAAGAAUCAUGCUCAUUCAGAUCAAAGUUCAGUUGUUUAUCUAACCUGGGAAGCAACUUUCAUUAUAAAUAUAGGUGAGCCUGGAACUUCACCUUGAACUUGCUUGAACAAUGCCCUUACCUCGUCAUCAUUAUGAACCUAAAAUAUCCAUAUGUAUGUUAUUUUAUAAACUUUUAUCUAAUAAAACACACCACAAAUAUGAUUGGCACAAGAUUAUCGUCAAGAUUGAAGUUUCGUCCGGUGUCUAGGGCCCUUUUAUCUAUUUUUGAGGCCUUGUUUUAAUUUUGGGCCCUCAAAUUUUUGGAUGCCGGAAUUAAUAUAUGCAGAAAUUUAGACUCUUAAACACUUUGAAGCCCUCAAGAUUUGGGAUUUAUUGAUAUAAUUGAGUUAAGAAUUUCAAAUUUGAUUAAAACUUGGGCCCUUAUACAUUUCUAAUUAAUGUUUUUGGGGGAAUUGAGGCCAUGUGCCAUAGUCUAUGUUGCACAUGAUAAUGGUUGUCCCUACUUGUGUCUGACACCGACACAUGUAAUUACAUUUAAUCACUUUUAUUUUCUCAAAUUAUUAUAAGUUUCAACAUGUUAAUGUCCAUUGCAAUGGUUAAUAGGCAUUGAUACUAUGGUUAACCACACAAGAAGCAAACCUUUCUUAUGCCUUUACCGCCGCCCCCCCAUGAUGCCUUGAUCAUUGCAGGGUAACCUACAACUUGACAACUUGCAAUUGCUUCUUCUGUUGUAUAAACACAUGAUGCACGGUAAAUUUCAUCAGGAAUAGUAAUCAAGUCGCUUUCUGGAGGAAAUUUCACCUGGAAAAAAUUUGAAAAGUCAUAAGUUGGGAACCCCAUACAAAAGAAAUAAACUAAAGGGGGAGGUGAAACUUACAUGAGAACCACUCCAUGGAAGGGUUGGCACUUCUGCUGCUUGAGCAAUCAACAAUGAAGCAAUUUUAUCUCCCAAAGCUGCCAUAGAUAUAGCAGGAGGUCCAAGAAAUACAAUUCCUUUUUCUUUCAAUGCAUUUGGAAGCUCAAGAUCCUCUGAUGCAUGACCCCAACCAGGCCACACCGCAUCAACGUGAGUUAUCUCAGCAAUCUGGGAAGUACAUUGCACUACCAUUAAGAAUUUAGAAUAUUCUUAACUACUUAAGAAUUGAAAUGAUUUGAAUGACAAGAAUAUGCUGAAGUAAUCUCAUGAAGUCGACAUCACGCACCUCUAGAAUAAGUUGCACAUUGGCAUAGUUAUUGUUAUUGGUCCCACCAGGUACUUCCACAAACUGAUUAGCAAUUCUUAUAUGUUCUGCAUUGAUUCUCAUGUCCUCUGGAGUAGCCAUGGCAACCAAGAAAAUAGCAUUUUCCGUUCCGAACGUCUCAUAAGCCCAACUCCUAACGCUGCGAAUAAACUUGACUGCAGCCAAUCCAUUGUUUGCAAUCAAAAUACUAUGAAUUGGCAUGUUUCCCCCAAGGGCAUUGCAGUAUUCACCCACGCUAGCCAUUAUUGUUCUCCUUCUAGUUGUUCAAACAGAGAGAAUCGGCAUUAAAAAAAGAGAGAGAAGUAAAAGAAGAAAUAGAUAAAAGACACGCAAACCUUGGAAUGGGAAGUCAACAACUUUGUAUUAUUUGCUAAGCACGUUCUCCUUCUAACUUUCUAUUCAUAAAAUGUAUGUAUGCCAUAUAUAUACAUAUAUAUGAAAUGUGUAAAGCCAAUAGAAAAAUGAAGCAUUAAUUUUCCAUAAGCAAAUAGAAACAUGCACAAUGAAUGUUGUGUUGAGGAAGUGCAAUAGAAAAUAGAGAAGUGAGAGAAACGUUGUUCAGACUAAUCUGUUGUAGGAAAACAAAAUGAGAAAAAUCAUGAUGAGCAUUCUCAUCCAAGUAACACAAUCAAUAUAUUUUAAAAGUUUUACGACAUCAAUUAUAUAUAGUUGACAAACUUGGUGAUACAUGGCAAUGGGUACCUAUGGGCAGGGUAUUACAGUGCCCCUUUCCAUACCUGCGUUUGCAAAAAAAUACCCCUAUUUAAGUCUGUAACCUCAUGGAGCAACUUUAGUGCUCUUCCCAAUACCUAUGGCCACCCAAGUGAUCAUACAUGCAUCCAUUACUCCUACUUUAACUAUGAAAAACAAGUAACAAACAUUACAAUUGAAAUAAAACUAUGAUCCAAAAAAAAUCCAAAUCAACUCAUUAUAGUACAAAUUGUAGUAUUUAGCCAAAUAAAAAACAUCCAAAAUAUCCCUAAAAAUAAAUGUGUACAGGAUUAAACAGUUUUUAGGUUUAAGUUUAGGCUCAAAUAGCUAAAUUAAUUAAUUAAUUGUACACCAAAAAUAAAUUAAUUAUUUAAAUAUAUUUCUCUAAUCAUAUUAUAUAAAUAUGUAUACGCAGGUUGCUGGAUUAAAUCUUAAAGUGUCCUCCCGCGCUCAUACCCAUUUAAAUUUGUGGAUAAUUACCUAAACUCAAACCCGAACUCAUGAAAGCGGAUUUACCUUACCCAUUGCGGAUACCCUUUGCAGAUGUCCAUCAUUGUGGUUUCGGGACAAAAGGUAAGGAAGUCAUUUAUGGACAAAAUUGUUUUAUAAUGAGAGAGAGAGGAGUAUAAACCAGUAAAGGAUCGUUUAAAGUGAGUAAAGUGUAAAGUGAAAAAUUAAGAAUUAUUAUUAGAACAAACUAUUUGUUACGAUGUAGGUACAAUAUCUACCUUUAAUUUAUUAAUUAACUGUAGAGUCCACUUAACAAUAAUCCCAAAUCCGCAUAAAAUGAUUCCAAAAAGAAAAUUUCUUGUUAGACUCAGAACGAGCAAAAUGUAUUAUUUGCUACAACUUACUCGAGGUCCACAUUACUUCAAUUCCCACAAAGACAAGGGACCAUCCCCACAACAUUGGUUUUUAAGCACAAAUAUGUGGAAUCUCGACCUUAACUGUGAUACGUAGUUUUGUUCCAUAAUAAGGAACAUAAUUCUAGAGUGUUGCUUGUCUACACCCAACUUUCAUGGGAAUGGUCGCUUGUCGUUGUACGUGAGAAUUGAAGUGAUUAGGAAACUCAGCGAUUUCACCUAAGGAAUAUGCCAUUUUCACCUCAAGGUUGUUUCUUGAUGCCCAGUGUACUAUGCAGUUUGUUCCUAGAGUGAUUGAAAUGAUUUUUGAUAAAAAUAAACAAAAUUAAUUUACUGCACUUAAUAAAACGACUUUCAAUUGUCUAGAAGUCCUAGCUCAACUUGCAAAUGCCGAAAUUGCAAAGCCGGACGUUGUGACCUGAGUUCGAAUCCGGGACCUCACAGUUGUGUGUGAGUUUAAUUUCAGUAGAUUAUCACUUCAUAUAAGACAAAAAAAAAAAAAAAAAAAAACCUUCAAUUGACUUUUUUUGUUUUUUAACAAAUCAAAAUGAGAUUAAAUAAAACCCAACGAUGUUACCACCCGCACAAGGUGUGCAAAAGGAUGAACACCGAAAAUAUUUACAGAGUCACAGUGCUACACAAAAAGAGCACCAACCAAAACUCAAAAAAUUACAUACACACUCUCAUACAAAGAAUGGGAUGUUUCCACCAAUCGUGAUAACUAUAAUCAAAAUUCGCCUGCUUUGAUUCAGCCAUAAGAAAUAAUUUAACUACUUUUUCUGUGAGAUGAAAAGUAAACAAAGCCUUAUUUUGAAAAAUUUGGUUGUUCAUUUCCUUCCAAAUUACUCAGACAGUUGCAAACCAAAUAAUCCGCAAGUAUAAAUGAGUAAAUGUUGGCAUGCCCGCCAUCUUAGUGAACUGAAUAAAAUGGUGUCGAAGCUCACAUGCAUGCACCGAAAAAUCCCUAGCCACUUCCACACCUGAGACCAUAGCUCAUUCGAAAUAUUGCAUUGAAGGAAAAGGUGUUGAGUAGUUUCGGAUAUACCACAACCAGCCACACAAGCCGUGUCAUUUGUAGGCAAAACACCACGAUGUGUCAAGUUGUUUUUGGUAGGAACUCUAUUACGAAGAAGGCGCCACACCAAUAGAGACACCUUUGAAGGAACAUGUUUAUGCCAAACGUCGUCAACAAGAGUCUUAUCCACCAUGUCACCUGAACUAGUAAUAAACCGAAAGGAUUCCCGCACCGAGUACCCAUGCACAGGAUCUAAAUGCCACCUCCAAGUGUCGUGAACAUUAUCCUGCAAGACAAUGUUAUGUAAUAAAAUGGAGCACUCCCUCACGCGCUCCUCCUCUCACGCAAACAGACGACGUCUCCACACCCACGCCUCACCAUCUAUCUCCCACCUGAGCCUCCCCAUACGCUCCACACUAGACUCUUUUUCCACGGCCAACUCGAAGAGGUGAGGAAACUUUAACCUCAACGGAAUAUCCCUGACCCAUUUACCAAAAGAAAGUAUCCUUCCCAUCACCGAUGCUUUCAACAAAUACACACACACGAAGGAUCAAAUAACACCAAAGUAAUAUUUUUUUUAAAGAAAUUACACCCAAGUAAUAUUAUACAGUUCAAUAUUGUUUUACUCGAUUCAAAUUUGACUAUUAGAUUCUAAGUUUAUAUCAUAUAGAUCAUGCAUGUAAAAUUUUAUACAAAUCUAAAAUCAUUUGAUAUGGUUUUGAGAAUCACCAAGAGUAAUGGUGUUAUAUAAACACGAAUAAAUCGUUAAUUUUAAUGGGUCUCAAUAACAUAUCAAAUGAUUUCAAAUUUAUGUAAAAAUUUACAUGUAUGAUCUAAAUGAUAUAACUUACAAUCUAACGAUCAAAUUUUGAAAAUAUGAAUCGAGUCAAACGAUAUUGAGUGGUGUGACAUUGGUGUUAUAUUAUUUUGAUGUAAUUUGAUAUAUAUAUAUAUAUAUAUAUAUAUAGGGGAUGUUUCAAAUGAGAGGACAUUUUAUAAUAAGAGGGUGAGUGGAAGAGAUAAUAACCCUUAGAUUAAAUUAGAUGGUUGUGAUUAAAUGUUACUUUUAAUGACUCAGGUGAGACUCUCUUUUCCCUUUUUCCCUUUCAGCCUGAAAGUGAAACGUUGCCUUCCUUCUCCCUUCAUUCAACGUGACUCACUCCUCUUUCUCCCUGCACUCAAACUAAAGUUCUAUCACCGCCUAUUCCAUGAAGAGGCUUUAGAUCUACGAUGUGAAUAUGACCAAUUGUUGAUUAAUUUGUUUUUCUCACUGUUUGGAUGCACUUAACUAUCAGGGACUCGAUUCAAUUGGAACUUGGUAAAUUGAAGAAGUUGACACAAGAGAUUGGGAAUAACAACCUUAAAAAGAUCACAAGUAAAUUUUUUUGUUUUUCCCUUCCAAUUUAUAUAAAUCUCAUGCUUUUAAGUUCCAACAAUUGGAUCUUAAGGUUGCUAAAAAAAAAAAAAAGAUGUUCAAACGUACUGGAAAGUUGAUUAAGGGAGAUAUACCAUAUCUUUUUACGUAGUCACAAUCAAGUAAAGAUUUUGAAUAACUAUUAUAAAAGAUUAUGUGAUCUUCGUCUCAUAUAUAAUUGUCUUUAUGAAAGAGAGACAAAAAUAUGAUGCACUCUUUUUUUCUUAACCAUGAUUUUAUCCCCUUAGUUUUUUCUGAUAAGGUUCUUAAUGAGAUAUAUUAUCCCAUUGAAUGUUGGUGUUAUUAAAAAAAAAAUGAAUGGAGCAGAGUACUUAUAACUUUUAAUCCCUUUAUUAGCAUCGACUGUAAAAUCAUCAUUAUGUAAAAUUGAACCAUACUCUAACUUAUAUCCUAACGCCAUUAUUGAAGGUGAUUAUUAAUUGAAUAUUGCUUUGAAAAUUGUCAUUAUAAUCAAAAUAAGCAAUUUUUUGAGGAAUUAAAAAAAAUAUUGAAUCAUUAUUGAACUUAAAAUAUUUAGAUUGUAAAGUUCAAAAAAUCUUCUUAUAAAAAAAAAAAAAAUAAAAAAAAAAAAAAAAAAAAAAAACUCGUCAGUUCAAAUAGGUGUAACAAAUUAACGUGAAUGUGUAGUGUGCAAAAAAGAAGCCAAUUGAACAAGUUAUGUGUAUCAAAAGUAAAUUGGCACGGACAUGGAAGCGUGCAGAGAAAAACGCAAUUGUGGGACAAGUUACGUGCGGCAAAAUAAUUGUAAAGAAAGAUAUAUUUACAAGUGUGAAAAUAGAUUGGUGCGUGUCCCAUUAACAGAGUAGGAAUAUGCAAGGGAAAUAAAGUUAUGAUGCAUAUACACGAGGUUAUGGGGAAGAGAAGAAGACACAAACAAGAAAGAAGAUCGAAGACAACUAGCCAGGUAAUGGUGGUGAGCGAUAUUGAAAGAAUAGGGUAUAUAGAAUACAUUCCACCGUGUUCCAUUUCUUCUUUAUUUUUCAAGUCCAAACAACGGAAUGGUACAUUAUUUAACACGACUAGAAAAUUUGUUUUUAGCAACGGUAGGAAUCCAUCGCAAAAUAGGCUAAAAUCCACCGCAAAGGAAUUUCUGACGGAUUUUGAGAUGCAACCAAAAUCCAUCAUAAUAAUAGGCGUCGGAAAAAGGCCAAACCCCAACUCACCUGUUUCUUUCAUAGAAAAAGGAACAAAAUUGCAUACACCAGGACAAUAAACCAAGAAUCAAAAUGUUUAAGAAACCUCAACCGAAAACCGUUGAUUGCGAUUGCUGGGAAGAAACUUCAACCAAAAAAUUGAUGACUUGCCGUUUUGGAUAAUGAUCUUCAAAACUGGAAAUAACGAUUCCGGUAAUCAAGCAAUACCGGAAAACUCGUAACAUGUUUUCCAGUACAUGCUCAUACUCUCUCUGUUAUUUCCUCUACCAACAAGGCGAGUUCAGAUCCUCUCAAUUUAUAAAAAUAAAUAGAGAUUGUCAUAAGGAAAGAAAAGGACACACAAAAUAGGAGGUGGGUCCUAUCAUUAAAUGAGUCUCAUCAUCAUUAACUAUUUUCAAGAUUUUUGUGUCUUUAUCUCUUCAAACGGAAGAAAUGGAAAAGAGUUUAAAUGGAGAGGAUUUUUUUAUGGUUACAAGGCUAAAGAAACGAAAAAAAGAGCAGGAAAAAAAAAGAGAGAAAACUAGGGCCUAGUAAAGAAAAUUCCCGACGCGUCGAUCCUUAGCAAGGGAAGGAGGUCGACCGGAGGCGAGGAGUGGGUGAUGAUCUCCACAUAUGAGGAAGCUCCUAGUUUAGCCAGGUAGUCAGCACACUGGUUUCCCUCUCUGAGAGUAUGCUGGAGGAAGUAAUUACGGUUGUCUAACAUGUCUUUAAUAUCUUGAAUUAACACAACAUAGAUAUGAAACCGCGUCGUGUUAACAAAGAUGAGAUUGAUGGAGAGGAGAGAGUCAUAAUAGCAUAUCAAAUCAUCCACACCCAUUUCAAUAGCCUUACUCAAUCCAUGGUAAAUAGUUGUGAGUUCUGCCAAUAGGAUAUCAGUAGAGUUGGGAAUGAAACCUGAAAAGCCUGAUAAAUAAAAGCCUGCAUUAUUACGGAGGAGACCGCCAAAGCCCGCAUGGGUUGGGGAUCCUAAGCAGCUGCCAUCAACAUUUAAAAUUGAACCUUGGUGAUUGUUGCAAUUCCAUUUAAUUAAACGAUCAAGUGGAGCAGCGCUGCCAUCUCUCUGGAAGCUUGAUCGGAUUACAUCCGUUGAACUGUGAAUGUUGUUGCAAAGACGAGUCAUCGACCAAGUUUCGUUAUUUAGGUACAUUAAAUUGCGGUUCCAAACCCACCAAAGACCGACAAGAAAGAGAGUGGUGCGGUUAUCUGAGGUGCUAUUUUUGAUCCAGUCAUAAGCAUUUUGAACAGUGAAGAAGUCAGUACCUAUGAAACCAAUUUUGUGCCAAAUGUUGCUAGAAAAUCGGCAAUCUCGAACACAAUGAAGGAAGGUUUCAUCAUGAUCUCCGCAACGUGCACAGGUAGCCGAAGGUGCCAUAUUACUAUGAUGAAGCAAAGAUAAAGUAGGGGAGGCAUUGUGGCAAGCUAACCAAAUGAGAAAUUUAUAUUUUUCCAGAACUUACAAUCUCCAAAUCCAAAUCCAUGAAUGAUGAGAACUAGGAUCUGCCACUGUAGCUUUGAGGGAAAGAAGCCAUGCAUAGCCGCUUUUAGUAGUGUAGCUGCCAUUUUUGUUGUGAGCCCAAAUUAUGGUGUCCUCAAUGGCGGCAUUGAAACGAUAAUGAGUAGUGUUGAUGUAGUCUCCAAUAGCUGCUGGAAGAGUGGUGUAUAGAGCUUGAGUGCGAUCAUCAUUAACAGAGAAAACAUCUUUGACAGAUAGAUGGAGAUCAUGUUUAAAUGGAGAGGAUCCUAACAAGGGUGUGGAAUGUAACACUCCUAUUUCUAUUAAAGCAAUUAAACAUGCGAAUAAUACAUUUAUUCAAGAAAUAGAGGCUACGCCACAUUCAAAAUUCAAAAACCAAUAAACAUAUAAACCUCAACAGUUGCAGCGGAAUAUAAACCAGAGUAAUCAAAAUAUACAUGUCAUGAAUCAAUAAUUACAUCGACAUAGAUGAAUCUCAAAAAUCCCAACAAAUGGGUAAUCUCCAAACAUAACAAAAUUCAAAAUAAACUAAUCUAGACCGACACAACGAAGCCUAGAUCAGAGCCGACUAAACAUCUAAACACCGAUAUCGGAGAAAGCUCCCGAUAUCCACCAAGCACAAAAACUCAUCAAGCAUCUAAUCCUGCACAACGUCUACCCAUCCAUACAGAUAGGCAGGAGGUUCAUCACAUAUCCACUGGAGGUAAGUAUUACAUUAUCAUAAUCCAAUAACAGUUAUCAUGAAUAAUUCAAUUAACAACAUGCAUUUGAUCACUAAUAAUCACACAUUAAUACUUACAUCACACCCCAAUAUCUAACAUCAAUAAUCAUUAAUCAUAUGAACAAUUUCCAAUUCACAAUAUUCAUUCACAAUCACCAAUCACAUUUAUCAUGAAUAAUCAUUAAUCAUAUGAACAAUUUCCAAUUCACAAUAUUCAUUCACAAUCACCAAUCACAUUUAUCAUGAAUAAUCAUUAACCACAUUUCAUGAACAAUCACCAAUCACAUAUAUCAAAUAAGACUCAUGUCAUAAUAUGCACUUAUUGACACAUAAAUGCAUGUGGUACCAAAUCUCCAAAAGGUCGUCACCUCCGAUGGAACAACUCAACAUCGUAUGUAAGGGUUCACCCCCGCCUUACAUAAUCUCUGAAGUAAAAGAGCUCAACCCUUUUACAACUACACGACUAUGAUGCAUGUACAUGUAACAAGACUCGAUAAUGCGACAACAAUCACAAUUUUCUCCACAAUAUAUAGGACAACACCCAAUUAUAUUGUUCAUCUCCACAUCAUUUGCAUUAUCAAGAAAACAUGCCCAUUCACAAUUAAAUCAUAGUAUUCAUCAUCACAUAUCAACAUGAUUAUCAAUAAUCAACAAUGUCAUUCAACAUCAACUAUCACAUAUAGUUUCACCAUUCCAAACAAUUCUCAUAUUCCAAGUAAGAGAACAUACAACAUCUCAUGACAAAUAUCAUAUCCAACAUAUAACCAUUCAACAUCAACCACAUCAUAUAGUUUCACCAAUUCAAACAUUUCUUACAUUCUAAGUAAGAUAGCUUACACAUCUCAUGAUAAAUAUCAUAUCCAAAACAAUCAUUCAUUCAUACAACUUCACUUAGUUAUAUAAACAUAGCCACCACAAUUCUCAAGACAAUUGGUUCAAGAAACAUUCCCGACUAAAACCAUAUCAAGUGGUAACCGACCAACAUUGACAAAACCCAAGGCAAAAUGACAUAGACAAGUUGAAAACCUUCAAACAAUCUUAAUCGACAAUGUAAUCAUGAAGUUAAGUCGCCUCCGAAUCAUUAACAUUAAUCCAAGCACCACUUAAGUUCAUAUGAAAAUCUCAUUUUCACAACCUUUCACAUUCCCACCCGAAAUAUCACUUUUGACAUGAUUAAGAUGUUUGACCAACCAUACAAGUCCUACCUAAGUCUAUAAGAGCUGUAGGUUUAACUUGUAAUCCUAUUUAGUUCACAAAAGUUCAUUUUGACAAAAAUCAUCAAAAUUAUCAAAUUACGACAAGUUCAUAUCAUUUCUUCCAUAUUGCGAAACCAAAUCAUUUUCAAAACAAAACCAAGUUAGAAUCAAGCUAUGAUACUCUUAGAAGCUUAAUUAUAAAUUGAUUGAAUAAGGUUAGGUGUUUGGGAUCCAUUGUCAUCUAGACGCACGGUCGUGUCACCUCACCAGUACAGCAAAAUGCAUUUUUACGUUUUUGCACAUAAAAUCUUGUUUUCGAAUCCGAUUUCAGUUCCGUUUUCGCCAAUGUAUUCCUAACACUUAGACCAUACAAACCACACUUGAAAACUUGACAUUUAAACAACUUAAUCAAACUCAUCCCAAAAUGACUUAUUUUACAAAAGCACUUAAAAACCACUUUUACUCAAAAACCCGUUUUCUUCCUAAAACGAUUUCUCUCCAAAACCAAGUGAUUAAAACAGAAAAUCAUAUCAUCCUAAUUCAUUCUAACAACUUCCUUAACUCAUUCAACAUAAUCAAAAUCAAACUUCUUCAUUAUCAACCCAUUUUACAAAACCACCAACAACAACUCAUUUCUCAACAACAAUCAUGAAUCAUGCAAACCCAAGCCAUGAAUUAUCAUCAACCAUAUGACUAAACAACAACAACAACCAUUGAUCAUGAAACAUAUCAUAAUUCAUCAACAACCAUGCAUAAUUCACCAAUUGAGCAUAAUUUACCAACUACCCAUUUUCAUACAUCAUGAACUUGCAAUUUCAUCAUCAACAAUUCAUUAAACAUCAAAUUAACAUAUUCAAACAUAUCUCUACCACAUUAGCACGAAUUUCAAAGAUUGGGUUCAUGAUAAUCACUUAUUCCCAUAAUCAAUUAUGCAUAGAACAAGAGAAAAAGAAUUAACCAAAUGAUUAUGAUAAAGACUAACCCUCUUACCUUAGAUGAAGAUUAAUCCCAACUUAGGCUUCAAUUUAGCUCCUAAGUUCACUCCAAUCCUUAAUUCUUCAAGUUCUUCUCUCUAACCCUUGUUCUUCUCUUCUCCCACUUUCUCUCUCUACCUCUCUCUAGAAAAUAUCUUAUGAAAUAAAUGAAGUUAUAUUUUCCUAAGAUAACUCCUUAGGUAUGACCCUUAAUGGGCUUAACCUAGUUUCUAGUGGGCUUAACUCAUUUCUAUUCAAACCAAAAAUAUUUCUACACUCCAAACGAUAUUUAACUAAUAACGGUAAAAUGUCACUAACGAUCACUAAACGGUAAAAUCUCAAUUUACUCUAGUAACUUAAUGAAAUAACUAUUCUCACUAAUCCUUAAAAGUAAUUCCUACCAAAAAUUAUAAUUUUACCCGUUCUCACAAAUGAUCAAAAUACCCUUAAGUCUAAAACGACUAAAAUACCCUUCUAACACGGAAACUCAUGAAAAUGCACCCAAUGAUGAUUAAUCACACAUAAAACACAUAAUAAAAGUAAUUAAAAUAAAUCUAGCUAAAAAUUGGGCUGUUACAUGGAACAAAUGAGAAUGAAUGAAGAAUUUUAUUAUAUAUGAGGGGUAAAAUGGGUACUUUGAGUAAAAUGUUGGGAUGAGGGUAUAUAUGUAAGGGUGUGGGGUAAAAUUUCCUUGCAAACUGAACCAACCAACCAAUGCAACUAAAGUAUGGAUACUAGACAAAUAUACAAAAUAACGGAAUAUAGGUACAAACCUUUUAAAUUUGGGAGAUUAGUCACUUUAGUCCCUGAAUAGAAAAUGAGUCGUCACUUUAGUCCCUGAAUGCAGAUAAAUUGCUAAAUGGUCCCUGAAUGUAGACUAUGUUAGUCAAUUAGUCCCUGAAUGCAAACUAUGUUAGUCAAUUUAGUCCCUGAAUGUAGACUUUGUUAAUCAUUUAGUUCCUGAAAUUGACCAACAGAGUUUAUAUUCAAGGACUGUUUUGCAAUUUCUCUGCAUUCAGUAACUAAAAUGUCUACUCAUUUCCCAUUCAGGGAUUAAAGUGACUAAUUCCCCUUUAAAUUUAGAUUCAAAAACUUCAUUCGUCCCAAGAUAAAAUGAUGUUCUUAUAAAAGACAUGCAUACCACCAUGUUUAAAAGAAUAUUGACCUCCCUUAUUUGUUUUAUCCAAUUGACAUAUACCUCCCUUACUAUGUCAACAUGAGCUUAAGUUAGUCACGAUGCUUCUUCUCAAGUACGGUGCAGACAGAAGCAGCUCCGUUGAGAACGAAGACAAUUUUUUUGGAUUUUUACUUUUACAUUCACCAUAGAAUGCAUUGGUUAGCAGUAGCCGGUAGCUCAAGACAACAAUUAUGUGUAAUGGACAUUGCUUAGCUGUAGCCGGUAGCUCAAGACAACAAUUAUGUGUAAUGGAUUUUGCAGUGAUGCGCAUAGCUAAUCACAACAAUAUACUUGUUCGUGAUAGAUCACGUGAGAAACGAAGGGAGGUGCUUAUGUUGUUCGUGAAUCGUGAUAAACCCUGUUUUUUAUGCUGUGAUGGUGUUCAAAGUAGGUGAAAAUGCCUUUAAAUUUUCCAAACAGAACUUGUUGGAGAGCUUGAUAUUUGGCUUAAAAAAAUUCAUAAAUCCACGGACAAUGAGUGACUAUAAACUUGUUGGGAAGCAUAUGUGACUGCCCAAAACUUUUUUGUUCAUAAAAAAUAAUCAAUGUUCAAAUUAUUACAUGUUUAUUCAGAUACACGCAAAGAAUCAAUCGACCAGCAAAUAAAUAGACCAAACAUGGUGAUGCUGGUUGUGAUCCUCUAACUGCAUAAAUUAAAUAUCUAUCCAAGAUUGAAGUCAUUUACAGUUUGAUCCCUCAAGUGAAAGUCCAUUUUCCAAGGGACGCUGCUACCUUGAAGAUAACAUCUUAAAAUGGGUACAUUUCUAUAUGGUCACAUAUCAACGACGUGAACACUACAACAUGAGUGCAUGGGCAGAUCACAAGAGCAUUCACUUUCUACUAACCAAGUACCUUGCGAAGUUCAUUGGUCAACUUAUCGCGACUCGAUGCUUCCAACUGCACAUGAAAAUUUAAAUAAUCAUAUAACCAUGUUCCAAAACAUGAUGAAGCAAAUGAUAAACUGUAAACAGUUGAUGUAAUAACUAGAUAAUAACAAAUGUUUUUUACCUUGCUUAAAAGGGCGGCAAGACCUUGAGGUAGAGCUUGUAAAUCUAGAGCCGAGUCGCCAAUAUUUGUCAACUGAAGCAACAGUCUCUGGACGCGCAAUUCCUUUAGUUUAUCCUCAUAAUAUGAUGUAUCAUCCCUCCAUCUGAAGAAGGCUUCAUCGUCCAACCAAGCAUCUUCACUGCCUUUGACGAUAUCAGAAUUCAGAUACCAUUCUUUGAGCAAGUUCAUGGCAGAAACAUAUGACAAUUGGUCACCAGCAGCAUCUCUCACACUGUUGAUCAGUGAGUGCUCACCGAUUCUCCUGUGCAGUCGCCGAUAGAAGACAGAACGCGAGUUACGCCAAUCAAGAACUUCCCUGAUUACACCCUUUGCUUUCAUUCUUAAUGAAGUAUCAUGGAGUUCAGCAAAUUUGGUAGCUAUCUGAGUAUACAAAGGCAAAAGCUGUUUCUCACGGAAUCUAAUCUGCUGCUGCAGAGAAUCAUAUGCACCAAAGUCUUUGUUACUCUUGGCUUCAGAAAGUUUUUCCUUCAAAGUAAUCAAUUGUUGAUCAAGUCUUCUCAUACACUCCAACAAUUCUCUUGUUCUAAAUUUGAUCUCAAUCAUUCCUUCCGGCUCAAGGACGUUACCUUUAGCCGUUCGUUCGGCAUACAUUUCAAUGUGGUCUGAGUUGAUUCGGCUGUCGACAACAACCCAAGCCCCGCCUCGGAGUUCACCCAUCAUUGGGAUGUAUACAAAUAUGGGCUGCUUGUAUGUCCUAAGGUUCUCCACAAUAGUCGAACCAGCCUGAAGAAUUCCUUCAAAAAGGUCCCUUUGUCCACCUGAAAAGCCUCUCCAGUUUGCGAUAAUGAAAAGUGGGAGCUCUUCUCUGUUGAAAUCCAAUAUCGCUUGGGCCGUCUUGGUCGCAGAAUCAGGAAACCACACUUGCCCAGCUUGAGGAACAACCCUCUCGUGAGAAUCAAGUUGGCCUGGAUCAGCAGGUAUUAUUUGCAUAACUGUUUGCGUUUCCACCGCAACAAUUCCCACUGGAAUUCCUCCAAGCUUUGCCCUUCCUGUAACAACCGUCCUAGCCCAUCCUUCUAGUGUCUCCACAAAGCUGUCCUUGUCAAAAAUACCUCCCAGCCACUUUCCAUUAACAUCCAGAGUUCCAGAAAUGGCAGCACGAGGAUCGCAUGAAUUUUCCGGUAAAUACUCCACUUCCCUCUCUGGGGGAUCAAGGGGCUUUACAAUGGGAAGUGCACCACCUACAUGAGAAGGAACGUAGCUAAGCCACUUCAAAAUAGAAGAAACUCCUUCAAGGUCGUCCGAAACAGUGAGAUGAACGACUCCAUUUGUUGCCAUGAUUUUCGGUCCACCAAGUUGCAUGUGAGAGCUGUACACCUCCCUACCAAGAAGUUUGUUUAAUGCUGAAAACCCGGUAAGAAUUAUAGGCUGAUCAAGCCUCUGUAUGCACCUCAUCCCAAGCCUAGCAAGAUAAGCACCAAUUCCAACAGUCCUACCGGUAACAUAUGUCAAUGUAAAGGUUUCCUUGUAUGCCCUUGAAUAGGCACCAGCAAUGGCCCCACUACCACUCAAGUUUUCAACUCCCAGUCCAUCUUCUUUGCCAACAAUGGUAUCUAUAACCCAUCUGGUUUCUCCACUUUCAAGUUUUAAUUCAUGUGCCAUCACUGAUGAUCCGAUUCGAGCAUAAUCCUCAGGUGUUAAAUAUACAUACUGAAAACCAUGCUCGGGUUUAGAUUCCUCAGACCAACCAACUUUGAAACAAGCUUUGACUUCCUCGGCAACACCUAAACGGGCACCAGAAUUUGCUGCCAAGUAAAUUAAAGGUAUUUUCUUUGCACAGGCAAGAUCGGUUACUGCUCUAAAGAAUGCAUCCUCUCUUGGGCCAAAAGAACCGGCCUUGAAGGUAACGUCAUUUGAAACAACCAAUAUUGUCCUUCCAGAUGGGAAUUCAGGCGUACACAUUUCCAUCAACCAGGCUACCAUGCCAACAUCAUUGAGUCCAGCAACACGCUCUGCAGGAACAAGAGAAGUACCCCAACUACCAUCUUUCUCGGAAAAUUUAAGCUCUGUUACUUUUAGGAGAUCCUUAUCGUUGGCUUUUUGAAUUCCUGUCUGCUGAAUUGACCAGGACUGUUCCAAGGAUGUUUGAAAUGCCUGCACGAAGUAUUUCUCGUCAGAUAACCUAGUUUGACUCGACUUGUCAUCCACUUAUUAAAAGGAGAUGGUGUACAUACGCAAACAGACAGACAAAAGAAACAUGACUAAAUUUAUUAAAUAUCACUUACAAGGGGAAAAUCAUAGCAGUAUGUGGUGCUGUUCUUUCUUGCUGCAAGACGUUUUCGGUCAAUAACUCCCAAAGGUUGAUAGUUUUCAUUCACCGGUACACCAUGCAGUGGUCCCUUUAGAGUGACUGAACUGUAGACCACUUUAUGAGUGAUGGCAUCCUCCAUCUCUCGAUAUAUCUGAAUUUUAGAAAUUAUGAAAAUCAAAUCAAUAUCUACAAAUAAUCUCCGUUAAUAUAGAUGGUGAAAGUUGUGGCAUGCAGGAAGCUUUCCUCGAGACUUUUAAGAAAAUAAAAACUUACAUGUACAGUGCAUGUAUGACCAGUCACAUUGUUUACAAUGACCCUCCAAGCACCAUUUGCCUGUCCACAUGCUGUAAUCCAGAGCUUGAUUUCCCACACAAAAACGCCUAAUCUGUGCAUUCUUACACCAACAGAGGAAUGGAUUUCCUGUGCCAGUUCUUCCAAGAUUGCCUCAACUGUUGUUUCUUCUUGGCCAGUUUCUAUGUUAAUUUUCCUGAUAUCAACAUCCAAAAUGUAAGAACCAGAUGAAAUCUUCUUUACUACAUGCUAAUAAAAGAAUAUAUAUAUAUAUGGAGAAUUUUGUAAUCAUAAUUACUUGGAAUAAGGCACAAGAUCAUCUAUUUGCUGCUCGCGUAUGAUAUAGAGGUACAUAUGAGCAUGUUCAGAUUUGAUGGUGGUAUUGUGUGAGUUAAGUUCCAACUCCUCCAUUGCGCCCAUUAGGGACCUAAAAAUGCUCCUUGAAGUAUAAGACAUAGCCAAUUGGGUACGGGACGUGUCUGCAUCCAGUCUUUGAUAAGAAGAGUAUCCUUCAUUUGUGGUUGGCUGUCUGAUAAGUGUUCGAAGAAACAUUCUUUGAAUUGGUUGUGGCUUGGUAUCCACAACCGUGUAGAGGUGCCAUUGACGAUCUCGGGAUGGUGUAUAGCGAAUAUUCUCAUAGCACUUAAGCUUGUCCUAUAAUCAGAUAAAUACUAAUGAGUUAAAGAGCAAGUACAAGUGGAAUAUGCUUCUUUCCCACAUUCUAAAAUAAAACGAGGAUCUGAACCGUGAAAUAACUAACCAGUUCAAGAUAAAUGGAUAGGGGAGGUUCAAGAUGGCGCAACAGAGGUUCCUCUACAUAAUGUAGCUUUUCAGAUGACCAAUGAAAGGAAUGCCUCAUUGGAGCACGCCCUUCAUCCCUCUGUAUGAUACAGCUAAUAUCUCCAACACCUGCAGCAUGUAUUAUGGACCCUACUUCCUGCUCUCUGAGUAUUUUGGCCAACUUAUCAAUUCUUUCUUGAGCCUGAUCCUCAUCACCACUGCAAAAGACCAAAAAGUUAAGCUAUAUAAUGAUACAGGCAUUGGUGCUUUGACAAUUGAAAAAAUAAUAAUACUAAAAAAAAUCAGGUUCAAUAUUAAUUUCAGAAACUGUACCUGUCUUGUAGUAAACUCAUUUGGUUGUUGAUGCCCACUAAUCCAAUAUGCAUCAUAUUACCAUGGUUACUUGAGUCACCAGAACCACUUUUAAGUGGAUCGUGAAAGUUAUUAGUUGCUUCUCUUAAUGCAGCACUGAUAAUUGCUGGCAAAAAUUGAAGAGAUUUAAUUACAACCAUCACUCCCCAUUUCUUCUCACUAUGUUUCUCCACCAGUGUUUUGUCUUCAACCCCAUUCUUCCGUUCAACGUGUUCUUCUAAGAAUUCCCAUGUAGCAAUAAGGCCAGAUCUGUGCCACUGCAUCCUGAUGCUAUCUUUGACAAGAUAUGGCUGAUAGAGCCUACGGAUAUAAGUUUCCACAACUCUCCUUUGAAGGGUGUGAUCACUGUGAUCAAAUAAACCAACAAGGGCAUCUUCAACAGCCAAAGGAGCGCUCACAAGGUCCUCCAUUCUGUCAUUAAUGGCACUCUUCCUCUUCGGAGUAUCAAUAUUUUCACCAUCCUCCGUAAACAUUUCUAGUUCAGAAAGACUUCUAGCAAUGCUGGAUCGAAGUUCACUGAGUUUAGUUUGCUCCAACAGUUGACUUGCCUUAAGAGCCAACUGCAUCAAGAUGAACACAAAUCAGGCUUCGAAUCAAAAAAAUUUAAAGAAAUUAAUUAAAAGACACUAUGACUCCUUAAAAUAUAACAUGAUGCAGAUCAUAGAACCCUCUAUAUAGCAGGACUAACCUCAGAAUAAACUAUAUGGUUGAGUUGGGAGAAUCGGAUUAACUGAUCCCUAUAGGCAGCAGGAUUAGGGUAAACCAGUUUAUCCAUUAGUCGCAGUAUCAGCUUGUUUUUGCUCUUGACACCCUGAAACCCAAGAAAUGCAGUUAAUAUAAUUUCUGUUCCGUGUCAACAGGACGUCAAGGAAAUAAAUCACUCGAGAUGAGAAGUUAAAAAAGUUUAUACCUGAUGAGAGAGCACGAUAUCUACAAUCUUCAACAAAUCUUUCUUGUAUUGAAGACGGAGCCGUUCAAUUACAUCAGCCUAGAUGUCACAGAAAAGGGAAAAUGUUGUGAAUAUUGAGAGAAACUGAAUGAUUAAGAACAUGUCUUUUAUAUUAAAAAUAGCUUCUUAGCUCCUAAGUAGAUGAAUGAUAAAGCAAAAGUUAGUUCGAUGAAAUGAACAUGGAAAUGAAGGAAAUAAAUAACUGAAAAUAACCAAAAAAAAAAAAAAAACAAUCACUCUUGAACAUCAUUGAGAAAAACUAAUUUGGCAGGUAGAAGCCAAAAGGUCGUUGCAGAUUAAAUUGCGCAAAUAAUAUUAGUACAAGCUAUCAUAUAAUCAUACUAACCUGUAUAUUAUCGCUGAAUAGUUCUUCAACUGAAAGAUACUCUUCAAAUAGAGAUUGAACGAUUUUAUGAGCAUGGCUCUCUCUUCCACCCUCAUAAGACUUAACAAGACUUGUCAGCGGUUCAACUAGUCUUUCUAAAGCUCCUUUUUCGUUUUCAGGACAGGAGGAAAGAUGAGCCUGCAGUAGAAAAUACAUCCCAUGAAUUUAUUUAUUCAUAUUAAAAGGGGAAAGCAUCAGAACGAGCAAUUCAGGAACAUCAACUCACUUCAAAGAUUGCCUUCAAUAGUUUGGCAGGGAAAUCAAUAGUUUGGGAGCUUGAAAUAAUUUCGAACUCCUUAUAUUUAGCUUCCAACUGAAAAACCACAUACAUUAGUUUAAACACUAGUUCAAGGGCAGGUCAUAUCACGUCAUAAAACAUUAAAUUAAAUGGAAUAGCUGGCAAGGUGUCCCUUUACCUCAUUUCUUAGAUCUUUGGGAAGACGGGUCGCCAAAACUGCAAAGCACUCUUGCCAUUGAAGGAAAGGCAGUUCAGGGCUGUCAAGGCAAUUGAGCAAACUUUGCACAACCUGAGACAGAUAUCUAGCUUGUUAAUAAGAAAGACAAAUACAAGUUUCGAAUAAUAAUGGAAUCCAUAAAUAUUGUCAGACUCCUUUGUAAAUGAAUCAAGAGGAAAGAUUUACUCACUUCAUCAAUAUUGUGCUCAUAGCCAGCAAGAAUCAUCCGUGCAGCGUUUAAGCUUGCUGCACAUUUCUGAUGAACUUUACCUGAAAUUGCAGUAGGAGGGCCCAGGAUAGGAAAGCUCCCUGUGAAGGGUUCUGCCUUUCUUACUGCAGAAGGAUCAUCUAGGUCAAGCUUUGCUAUAAGUUCACCAGCCUGCAUGGCUUGACCUUCAGCCAUUCUGAAAUGAAUAAUCCCAGAAGCAGGGGAAAGAAGAGGCAUGCACAUUUUCAUGACCUCAACUUCAGCAUAUGGUGUGUCUGCAUCAAUGUGACUAUCAUCCGCAACCAAAUAUCUCAGAAGCUUGCACGGUGUCUCUCCAAUUAACUUUGAUGGAUCGUGAUCAUUCUGCAUAUGAAAGGGAUUUAGUUACCUUAGCAACAAUGAAAAGAAAUAGAAAUUUUUAAAGGUAGAAAUAAACUAGUUUCACCUGAAGCAAGCAAGUCCUUCCAUCGAUUAAAAGCCGAGUUCCAGCUGCUUCUUCCUCUGCAUAUAUUACAUGACUGUUUCCAUCCAACUGUAACAAGUGGGAACCACCGGUUAAGAAAUCAAGAAUCAGAUACAGAACAAAGACUGGUAUAAAAUACUAAAGGGAGCGAUGUCAAGCUUAAUUCUGUAGUGGUGAAAACGGCAAAAGCACAAAUACAUAAGUUGUUGAGAGAACAAACUUGCCUGCAUAAGCAAACCCCCAUCACGUAAAGUGUGUAUCUCCGCUUCUAUCUCUGAUUGAUUUAAUUUCAGUUUGUAACUUCCAGGUCCUCCUCGUAUCAUGUCAAUCUAGAAAAUUGUUUUGGAAGAUGAGUUAUGCAAAUUGAGCAUUGCCUAUGAUAGCGUAAGUCCCAAACUAAGGUAAGGGAAUUACAAAGAAUGUACAUACCGUGUAUUUGCUUCCUUCAAUGCUCAAAGAAACUUGAGAAUGGACAAGAGAAAUGUGCUGGCAUAAUUAUCAGCAAAAAUUAGUAUCACUAGAAAAUAACAAUAGAGUUGGAAGCACUAUAAAUCACAUGUUCCUCCCAUUUGGAUAAAAUACCUUAGGAGGGAUUUGCCCCUUUUCAAGAUAGCCAACAUAGUCUGAAACCAAAGCUGCACUGCUAGCAGAAGCUUUCUGCAUUAAUUAGAAGCACAGGUCAUGAAUUCCAUGAUAAGAAACUAACAAAAAUUCAAGGAGAAAAAUACAUUAAAAAAAAUAAGUUUGCUUACAUAGAGUGCCCCUCCAACAACAGACAGAUACCAGGGAGGCCUCUCUGCUCUAACCCGCAUUGCAAUUCUACUGUCUAGCCAUCCUGUGUGAAUUUUGUUGUCUCUGUAGUCUGAAGCCUGAGAUAAAGUAUUGUAAUAAUGUUACUUCUGCAUAAUAAAAACUUGCCAUAAAACUAAUAUGUCAUCAUGGUAGUGAUUUACAUUCAGAAGAUCAAUUGUGUAAUCAACAUUGGUACGAAUUUCUCCUCGAAUUUGAAUUUCCUUCAACCCCAGUACCAUAUUUGCAAUGGCUAAAGCUCUAGAUUCUCCAAAAGCGAACACAUGUCCUGAGGUAAAAACAUAGGAUAUAAGCAUCUGAUAGAAGAUAAGCCAUAAUAUUUGAAGAUUACUAAUAACAAUUACUACUUACCAAAUUGAGAAUCUGAGAAUUCAUGAAUUCCUCCUCCGGACUGCAAACAUAAAAUUGCCAAAAUUUAGCACCUCAACAUUCAAGUUAAACAAACAAAAUUGAAGAAACAGAAGACUUACCUUAACAGAGAAGUAAGCCCACACAUUUGGCUUGCUUUUAAAGCUUAGCUCCUGCACAAAUAUUUAACUCAGUACGUGUUACGGGAUGAAUAAAGUAAAAGAUGAGAUUGCUGUUUAAUUUAGUGGUUAACCUGCACUUUUCCUCCUGUAGGCUUAAAACCAUCAUCAGGGUCCUCGCUGGUCACUCGCACAGCCACACAAUGACCUUUUGGCUUUGUAGAUUGUGCUUUGUCAAAAUCAAAAGGGGUAGCUAACAGUGAUGUUUUCCUCCAACCAUCAUUUCCCCCGCCAUGUUCCAUCCCAUAGAAACGCCUAAUCUCUGUUGAGUGAUAGUGUGAGACACAUGAAAAAUAUCUAAGAAAUCAAGCAAAUAAGAAGAAUGCAAUAAUAGUAAGAUAUAUAUAUAUAUAUAUAUAUAUAUAUAUAUAUAUAUAUAUAUAUAUAAAUGAAGCUGUACCAGGAAUUUGCCAGAGCGGGAUACCCAUCCCAACUGCAACUUGUGCUGCUGGCAGAUUUAUCUCAGCUAUCCAUUCAGUAACAGGAUGCUCAACCUAUAUAACAACAAAUGCAAGCAUUAUCAUAAGGAACAACUGGAGUAACCAGAGUCAAAAGAAGAAGCAAUCAUGUUAUAAGAGAACAAUUAAUUACAGUGACCUAAAAUCAAGGUUAUAAUACAACACCUGUAGUCGGGGGUUCAACUCUAAAAAGUAGUACUCGCCAGUUUCCAUGCUAUAAAGAUACUCAACGGUAGCUGCCCCAACAUAAUUGACAGAUUUAGCUAAUCUUCUAGCCGCCUGUUCAAGUUCUUUCACCGUUUCUGGAGGUGCUACAGUAAUGGGACCCUCUUCAAUAAUCUGUUACAAAUAAUUGAUUGUCAUUACGGAGAUUCAAUCCACCAUGACAA